rnacentral:rRNA from 1 species
AUGAAGGGCGGCAAGGUCGACCAGUCGGGGAUGCGCCGGCGCAUGUCGUCGUGCUUGUCACUGAUCCUCCAGCCGCCAACUUCGUCGUCGUCCGCGGCAUUCCGGCGUGCGUGGUCGAUGCCAUCGAUCAAGGCGCUGGCGGCAGCAGGCGCGCUGCAGCAGUGGUGGGAGUUGAGACUUGGUUGGAUCAUUACCAGGAAACACUCCUUCACGCGUGCCCUCGAGAUGAGCGUGGACGUGGCCGCCGUGCUCGGAUGCCACUGCCUCAGCACGCUCCGACACGUCUUCUACAAGGGACGCGUCAAUGUGCACCGCCUCCUGGGCCGCGACGGCCUCCUGCUUGAAGGCGUCUUCGUGCAGGACUUCAGGUGCGACUGCAUCUACUACGACCAGAACUUCAACAAUGGAGACAUCGACGCCAGAUGCUAG